rnacentral:lncRNA from 1 species
GCUUGUUUGUGUCUUAACUCGGGUCGGUCAUAUUGUAAAUUUCAUUGAAUACCUCAGCGUAAAUCUUGUUUACAACAAGAAAUUUGUGAGGUUAUACUAACUAAACAUACAACAAACGAGAAUUUUCCAUCUCAAUUUUUUACUGACAAGUCCACAUCAAAUAUAUUAGUCCAUAGCUUUGGAUCUAUCCAAUCAUUUUAUAAUAGACACUUUAAAAUGGG